UACGGUUCUUGUUCACCGUUGCGGCUAUAACUUGCACCUCACUCACCCUUGCCUUGGCUGCCACAAUACUUGGAGACAGCUACUCUACUCCCACUCUGUGACCAAAGAUGGCCGAUUCCGUCGUCUCCUGGCUGAUCGGUACGUUGAUGGACAAGGCUAAAGAGAAGGUGGCCUUGUGGUUGGGAGUCCCCGAGGAGAUCAAAAAGCUCCAACGCACUCUCCGCAGCAUCCAGUCUGUCCUUCUUGACGCCGAGAAGCGAUGGAUCGAGGACAAGGCCGUCAACGACUGGCUGAUGGAGCUGAAGGAUGUCCUGUACGACGCCGACGACCUCCUCGACGAGUGGCGGACCGCGGCCGAGAAGUGCACCCCGGGAGAGCCCUCUCUGAAGCGGGUCAAACGCAACAUAUCUUCCAUCUUGUUCAGAAAUGACGUGGGCAUCAAUAUCAAGGAUCUCAACGAUCGGCUGGAAGAGAUCUCGGCCCGAAGGUCCAAGCUGCAACUCCAUGUGUCUGCGGCCGAACCAAGGGUGGUUCCUCGAGUUAGUCGCAUAACUUCCUCCGUGAUGGAGUCUGACAUGGUUGGCGAGCGACUGGAGGAGGACUCCAAGGCACUGGUGGAGCAGCUGACAAAGCAAGAUCCGAGUAAGAACGUGGUGGUGCUGGCAAUUGUGGGGAUCGGCGGCAUCGGAAAGACCACCUUCGCUCAGAAGGUGUUCAAUGAUGGUAAAAUCAAAGCCAGCUUCCGCACCACCAUCUGGGUGUGCGUGUCCCAAGAGUUCAGCGAGACGGAUCUUCUCAGAAAUAUCAUCGAAGGUGCUGGUGGAAAAUAUAAAAGAGAACAGAGCAGGAGUCAGCUGGAGCCCACGGUGGAGCGUCUCCUGAGAGGGAACAAGUUCUUGCUGGUGUUGGAUGAUGUUUGGGAUGCUCAGAUCUGGGACGACUUGCUCCGCAAUCCUUUGCAGGGAGGAGCAGCAGGGAGCAAGGUGCUGGUGACCACCAGAAACGCAGGGAUCGCGAGGCAAAUGAAGGCGGCCCACUUCCACGAGAUGAAGCUGCUGCCUCCAGAGGAUGGCUGGUCGCUCCUGUGCAAGAAGGCGACGAUGAAUGCAGAGGAGGAAAGGGAUGCCCAUGAUCUCAAGGACACAGGCAUGAAAAUUGUUGAGAAAUGCGGAGGGCUUCCCCUGGCCAUCAAGACCAUCGGAGGGGUCCUCUGCACCAGAGGACUCAGCAGAGAUGCGUGGGAGGAAGUUCUCCGCAGCGCCGCAUGGUCACGGACCGGGCUUCCCGAAGGUGUGCACGGAGCACUGAAUCUGAGCUACCAAGACCUGCCGGCCCAUCUCAAGCAAUGCUUUCUCUAUUGUGCCUUGUUCCCCGAAGACCAUGUGUUUCGUGGGUCUGCCAUCGUCAGAUUAUGGAUAGCCGAGGGGUUUGUCGAAGCACGUGGAGAUGUCUCGUUGGAGGAAGCAGGGGAGCAAUAUCAUAGAGAGCUGCUUCGUAGGAGCCUUCUACAAUCGCUGCAACCUUUCAGUCUGGACUACGAUGAGUAUUCCAAGAUGCAUGACCUGCUGAGAUCUCUCGUCCAUUUCCUAUCGAGAGAUGAGAGCUUGUUCAUUAGUGACGUGCAAAACGAGUGGAGAAGUGCUGCCGCCACGAUGAAGCUGCGUCGGUUGUCGGUUGUGGCCACUGAAACCAUGGACAUCCGGGAUAUCGUCAGUUGGACCAGGCAAAAUGAGUCGGUGAGGACAUUGUUAUUGGAGGGAAUACAUGGCUCUGUGAAGGAUAUAGAUGAUUCCUUGAAGAACCUCGUGCGACUUCGAGUCCUGCACCUUACUUACACAAAUAUCGAUAUUCUACCGCACUACAUCGGAAAUUUGAUACACCUGAGAUACUUGAAUGUGUCUCAUAGCCGUGUAACGGAGCUUCCAGAAAGCAUAUGCAAUCUUACGAAUUUACAGUUUUUGAUCCUCAGAGGAUGUGAUCAGUUGAGACAUAUCCCCCAGGGUAUGGCUAGGCUAUUCAAUCUAAGGACACUCGAUUGUACAUAUACACAGCUGGAGAGCUUACCAUGUGGAAUAGGAAGGUUGAAGCACCUCAAUAAACUCGGAGGAUUCGUCGUGAACACCGGUAAUGAUGGUAUGUGCCCAUUGGAAGCAUUAUGCGGCCUCCAGGAACUCAGAUACCUCUUCAUAGAGAGGUUGGAGAGGGCGUGGCUGGAAGCUGAACCGAAAAGGUUUACGAGCAUAUUAAAAGGUAACCAUAAACUGAAGAAUCUAUAUUUGCAUUGCUCAUCCACACUGACAUCCGAUGGUCACACGGAGGAAGAGAUUGAAAGAAUGGAGAAGGUGUUGGAUGUGGCACUUCAUCCACCAUCAUCUGUUGUUUUGCUCAGUUUAUUGAAUUUUGGCCACCGGUACCCCAGCUGGAUGGCGUCUGCAAGCAUCAGUUCGCUUCUUCCAAACAUAAGCCGCUUGGAACUAAAUUAUUGUGUUCAUUGGCCACUGCUUCCACCGCUAGGAAAGCUCCCCGGUUUGGAGUUUCUUUUCAUACGAGGUGCACGUGCAGUGACCACCAUCGGACCGGAAUUUUUUGGGUGUGAAGCUGCUGCUUCUGGUCAUGAACGGGAACGGAAUUCAAAGCGCCCUUCUUCUUCUUCUUCUUCUACUUCUCCUCCUUCGUUGUUUCCGAAACUAAGGCAGCUGGAACUCUUGGAUAUGACUAACAUGGAAGUGUGGGAUUGGGUAGCGGAAGGUUUUGCUAUGCGUCGCCUCGACAAAUUGGUCCUCGGAAAUUGCCCCAAGUUGAAGUCUCUACCGGAAGGCCUGAUCCGACAGGCAACCUGCUUAACCACAUUGUUUCUGGCCGAUGUGUGUGCUCUCAAGUCCAUCAGAGGUUUCCCUUGUGUAAAAGAAAUGAGUAUAAUUGGUGAAUCAGAUCUGGAGAUUGUUGCUGAUCUCCCUGCACUGGAGCUCUUGAAUUUGGGACUGUUUGGGUGUCGCAACAAUCAUUUACCAGAGUGGUUGGCGCAACAAUCAUUCACUACGCUCCAGAGACUGGACGUGCGGGGAACCACCCAAAUACUCCGCAGAUGCCUCCAAAAUGGCGCAGACUGGCCCAUGAUCGAACGCUUUCCAAUUUUUUCCAUCAGAGAUUUCCGAGGCAAUUAUAUAAACUACAUCAAGCAUUCCUGCACCUUCGACACAAACCUAGUCGAUGAUGAUGCUGCUGUUGCUGCUGAAGAAGAAGAAGAAUAAGAAGAAAAAAGAAGAAGACAUCAAUGAUCUUUGAGGUAACUUACCUUUCAUGCUCACGUCUCCACCAUCUAACGUCUUCUGGUUUUGGAGUGGUAGGGAGAUCGACAUCAUUCACGAUGUAAUCGGCAGUCAUGUCUAAUAUGAUCAUUGCAAAUGGAGCUGACCAUGGAAAGUCCGAGACUUUUGAGCGGAAAUGCAGAUCGAGAGGUUUCUGUUGGGUACGCGUGAGAGCUCAGUCGAGAUCGAUUGCUUCCUCCGUCUCUCUCUCUCUCUCUCUCUCUGUAGGUCGAUCCUUAGCAGCUUAAGCGCAUUGAGUGCCUCGUUUGAUCGGCCGACAACCUCAACUCCAUCGAUCGCAAGUCUGUUACUAGCCUCGCAGGCUGAUUGAAAGUAAAUUGUUGUCCUGUGCUUUGGUUGCAAUUUUGGCCUCACAGUGCCAGUUGUUACAACUCAUUAUUGAUCUCUGUGGAUUUUACUAGUUUUUCAUUGGUUGUCGAGAAAUAGUGGAGCCAGCUCG